rnacentral:rRNA from 1 species
GACGAACGCUGGCGGCGUGCUUAACACAUGCAAGUCGAACGGGAUAAUUUGAGAGCUUGCUCUUAGAGAAUCUAGUGGCAAACGGGUGAGUAACACGUAGACAACCUUCCGACAGGAUGGGGACAACAUUCCGAAAGGAAUGCUAAUACCGAAUGAAGCGGAGGAGAGGCAUCUCUCCUCCGUGAAAGAUGGCCUCUGAAUAUGCUAUCACCUGUCGAUGGGUCUGCGUCUGAUUAGCUAGUUGGUGAGGUAACGGCUCACCAAGGCGACGAUCAGUAGCCGGUCUGGGAGGAUGGACGGCCACAUUGGGACUGAGACACGGCCCAGACUCCUACGGGAGGCAGCAGUGGGGAAACUUCCGCAAUGGGCGCAAGCCUGACGGAGCAACGCCGCGUGAGUGAAGAAGGUCUUCGGAUCGUAAAGCUCUGUUGACGGGGACGAACGUGCGAAGGGUGAAUAAUCCUUUGUAAUGACGGUACCUGUCGAGGAAGCCACGGCUAACUACGUG